CCUACGGGGGGCAGCAGUAGGGAAUUUUUCACAAUGGGCGAAAGCCUGAUGGAGCAACGCCGCGUGCAGGAUGAAGGCCUUCGGGUUGUAAACUGCUUUUAUAAGCGAGAAAUAUGAUGGUAACUUAUGAAUAAGGAUCGGCUAACUACGUGCCAGCAGCCGCGGUCAUACGUAGGAUCCGAGCAUUAUCCGGAGUGACUGGGUGUAAAGAGUUGCGUAGGUGGCAUAAUAAGUAGCUAGUGAAAUCUGGUGGCUCAACCAUUCAGACUAUUAGCUAAACUGUUAAGCUCGAGACCGUUAGAGGUAACUGGAAUUUCUAGUGUAGGAGUGAAAUCCGUAGAUAUUAGAAGGAACACCAAUAGCGUAGGCAGGUUGCUGGGACGGUUCUGACACUAAGGCACGAAAGCGUAGGGAGCAAACGGGAUUAGAUACCCGUGUAGUC
rnacentral:rRNA from 1 species